rnacentral:rRNA from 1 species
GACGAACGCUGGCGGCGUGCUUAACACAUGCAAGUCGAACGGAAAGGCCCUGCUUUUGUGGGGUGCUCGAGUGGCGAACGGGUGAGUAACACGUGAGUAACCUGCCCUUGACUUUGGGAUAACUUCAGGAAACUGGGGCUCAUACCGGAUAGGAGCUCCUGCUGCAUGGUGGGGGUUGGAAAGUUUCGGCGGUUGGGGAUGGACUCGCGGCUUAUCAGCUUGUUGGUGGGGUAGUGGCUUACCAAGGCUUUGACGGGUAGCCGGCCUGAGAGGGUGACCGGCCACCAUGGGACUGAGAUACGGACCAGACUCCUACGGGAGGCAGCAGUGGGGCAUAUUGCACAAUGAGCGGAAGCCUGAUACAGCAGCGCCGCGUGCGGGAUGACGGCCUUCGGGGUGUGAACCGCUUUCGCCUGUGACGAAGCGUGAGUGACGGUAAUGGGUAAAGAAGCACCGGCUAACUACGUG